rnacentral:rRNA from 1 species
UUUAAUGAGAGUUUGAUCCUGGCUCAGGACGAACGCUGGCGGCGUGCCUAAUACAUGCAAGUAGAACGCUGAAGAGAGGAGCUUGCUCUUCUUGGAUGAGUUGCGAACGGGUGAGUAACGCGUAGGUAACCUGCCUGGUAGCGGGGGAUAACUAUUGGAAACGAUAGCUAAUACCGCAUGAMAUUGAWUAUCGCAUGAUAAUUGAUUGAAAGGUGCAAUUGCAUCACUACCAGAUGGACCUGCGUUGUAUUAGCUAGUUGGUGAGGUAACGGCUCACCAAGGCGACGAUACAUAGCCGACCUGAGAGGGUGAUCGGCCACACUGGGACUGAGACACGGCCCAGACUCCUACGGGAGGCAGCAGUAGGGAAUCUUCGGCAAUGGGGGGAACCCUGACCGAGCAACGCCGCGUGAGUGAAGAAGGUUUUCGGAUCGUAAAGCUCUGUUGUAAGAGAAGAACGGGUGUGAGAGUGGAAAGUUCACACUGUGACGGUAUCUUACCAGAAAGGGACGGCUAA